rnacentral:rRNA from 1 species
AGCAGUCGCCACGGUAAUACAGAGGGUGCGAGCGUUAAUCGGAUUUACUGGGCGUAAAGCGUGCGUAGGCGGCUUCUUAAGUCGGAUGUGAAAUCCCUGAGCUUAACUUAGGAAUUGCAUUCGAUACUGGGAAGCUAGAGUAUGGGAGAGGAUGGUAGAAUUCCAGGUGUAGCGGUGAAAUGCGUAGAGAUCUGGAGGAAUACCGAUGGCGAAGGCAGCCAUCUGGCCUAAUACUGACGCUGAGGUACGAAAGCAUGGGGAGCAAACAGGAUUAGAUACCCGUGUAGUCCCUGUCUCUUAUAU